UCGUGGGUCGCCCACGCCACACUGGAGUGAUGGUUGGCAUGGGUCAAAAAGAUGCCUAUGUUGGCGAUGAGGCUCAAUCAAAGAGAGGUAUUUUGACUUUGAAAUACCCAAUUGAGCAUGGUAUCGUUAGCAACUGGGAUGAUAUGGAGAAGAUUUGGCAUCACACCUUCUACAAUGAGCUCCGUGUGGCUCCUGAAGAGCAUCCAGUUCUCCUUACAGAAGCUCCUCUUAACCCCAAGGCCAAUCGUGAGAAAAUGACCCAGAUCAUGUUUGAGACCUUCAACACUCCUGCAAUGUAUGUCGCUAUCCAGGCUGUCCUUUCCCUCUAUGCCAGUGGUCGUACAACUGGUGAGUGAUAUGGUCCAUCCUCUAUUUGCUUUUAUGUUCAAACUGAUGAAUGGAAAAAAUAUUGUUAUUGGCUUGUUGCAUUGGAAGUUUUCGGAAUGAGGCGGAAUUUUAGUGAUUGGUUGAAAAAAUAAAUUUCAGGAAAGAAAUUUAUCUAUAUCAUGAUAAAAAAAUGGAAUGUCUUAGAUAACUUCUCAAACCUCAAUGUUUCUAGUUUGUAAGUUAACACGAUCUAUUUUUCACCCUUGGUCAUAAUCACAUUUGGUUUUGGGGAAUUUAUAUGAUAUAUACAGGGAUCAUGAUCAUGAAAACCAAAGAACUGUCUUUGACAAGCAUGUAGGUAAUCCAGCUUGGUGGUUUACAUUAGGGAUCUUUAAUUGUGGAGAAAAAUUAGGUGAAAUAACAUUUUUCAUGAUCUAUGUGUUUUGGCUAGGUAUUGUUCUGGACUCUGGAGAUGGUGUGAGUCACACGGUUCCCAUCUAUGAAGGCUAUGCCCUCCCACAUGCCAUUCUGCGUCUUGACCUGGCAGGUCGUGAUCUCACUGAUGCCCUCAUGAAAAUCUUGACUGAGCGUGGCUACUCUUUCACAACCACAGCAGAGCGUGAAAUUGUAAGGGACAUGAAGGAAAAACUAGCCUACAUUGCUCUUGAUUAUGAACAAGAGCUAGAGACAGCAAAGACCAGCUCAUCUGUUGAGAAGAGCUAUGAGCUGCCAGAUGGGCAGGUUAUCACUAUUGGAGCUGAACGUUUCCGUUGUCCUGAAGUCCUCUUCCAACCAUCCAUGAUAGGAAUGGAAGCUGCGGGCAUACAUGAAACAACAUACAAUUCUAUCAUGAAGUGUGAUGUCGAUAUUAGGAAGGAUCUCUAUGGCAAUAUUGUCCUCAGUGGUGGUUCUACCAUGUUCCCAGGCAUUGCGGAUAGGAUGAGCAAGGAAAUUACAGCA
rnacentral:lncRNA from 1 species